UACGUAGGGUGCAGGCGUUAAUCGGAAUUACUGGGCGUAAAGCGUGCGCAGGCGGUUUGCUAAGACAGGUGUGAAAUCCCCGGGCUUAACCUGGGAACUGCGCUUGUUACUGGCAAGCUAGAGUGUGGCAGAGGGGGGUGGAAUUCCACGUGUAGCAGUGAAAUGCGUAGAGAUGUGGAGGAACACCGAUGGCGAAGGCAAUCCCCUGGGCCUGCACUGACGCUCAUGCACGAAAGCGUGGGGAGCAAACAGG
rnacentral:rRNA from 1 species